rnacentral:rRNA from 1 species
GACGAACGCUGGCGGCGUGCCUAAUACAUGCAAGUAGAACGCAGUUGCGAAGGGGUGAGUAAGGGGUAGGUAACUGCUUCAUAGCGGGGGAGAAGUAGUGGAAACGAUAGCUAAUACCGCAUACUGUGAGAUGGACCUGCGUUGUAUUAGGUAGUUGGUUAGGUAAAGGCUCACCAGGGCGACGAUACAUAGCCGACCUGAGAGGGUGAUCGGCCACACUGGGACUGAGACACGGCCCAGACUCCUACGGGAGGCAGCAGUAGGGAAUCUUCGGCAAUGGGGGGAAGCCUGACCGAGCAACGCCGCGUGAGUGAAGAAGGUUUUCGGAUCGUAAAGCUCUGUUGUUAAGGAAGCGGUACCUAACCAGAAAGGGACGGCUAACUACGUGCCAGCCGCCGCGGUAAUUC